rnacentral:misc_RNA from 1 species
UACGGAGGGUGCGAGCGUUAAUCGGAAUUACUGGGCGUAAGGCGUGCGUAGGCGGCUUGAUAAGCCGGUUGUGAAAGCCCCGGGCUCAACCUGGGAACGGCAUCCGGAACUGUUAGGCUAGAGUGCAGGAGAGGAAGGUAGAAUUCUCGGUGUAGCGGUGAAAUGCGUAGAGAUCGGGAGGAAUACCAGUGGCGAAGGCGGCCUUCUGGACUGACACUGACGCUGAGGUACGAAAUCGUGGGUAGCAAACAGG